GCUCACGGCCAUACCAGCCUGGGUACGCCUGAUCUCGUCUGAUCUCGGAAGCUAAGCAGUGUCGGGCCUGGUUAGUACUUGGAUGGGAGACCGCCUUGGAAUACCAGGUGCUGUAAGCA
rnacentral:rRNA from 1 species